GCGUAUGCGCAACAUCCGUUCUGUCAUUUGCCGCCUUUUGUCUAACACUGACUGUGGAAACUGACUGGGGAAACUGACGGUGGAAAGUCUAUUAUUUGGUAAGUAUUUGUUUUUUCUAGUAGUUUAGAAUGUUCCCUGUUUCCAAGUAAUGCCUUUUCAUAAUAUCGACAAGAAUAUUUGAAACCACCGUGUUAUAUUUUGCUCCGUUUUUAGUUGGGUCUAAACAGCAAGCUAGCUAGCUUGCUAGAUAUGGUUAGCAUUGAAUACUGGAUAGUAGAGAUCAUUAGAUUAUAUUACAUUAGAUUUAACGUUAUUGUCAUUGAACACAGUACACCGAAAUUCAGUUUAAGUUCAACCAAAAAAUGCAACGAGUAAUUAAAGUGCAUGAGGUAAAGCGGCAAGCUAGCUAGCCAGAUAACUGGUUUGUUAGCUAGCUUGCUAGAUACGGUUAGCAUUGGAUACUGGAUAAUGGAGAUCAUUAGAUUAUAUUACAUUCGAUUUAACGUUAUUGUCAUUGAACACAGUACACCGAAAUUCAGUUUAAAUUCAACCAAAAAAUGCAAAGAGUAAUUCAAGUGAAUGAGGUAACAGUAUAGGAGGCAGAGCCUGCAUGCAAGGGCUGCCAUUUUCUAUCAUAAAGCUCAGCAGGUGUGUCCAUCUCUCUCCUGGCCUUAGUGCAGGCAGGCAGAGGAGGACAGGCGGAGCCACUCGUUUCUGUAGGAGUUCAGUUGAGUUUAGUUUUUUACUGCCAAAUAUUUAAUAUAAAUAAUGAGAUAAUAUAUAUGUGAAUCUUGUAUGGGUUACUUCACUCACAAGCAGGCACCCAGAGUUGUGCAGAAACGUUUUUUGGGUUGUGCAAUCUUAGGCAAUUAUGUGUUUUCUGUGAAAAUUCAAAUAUAUAAGCAUUUUAAUCACACCUCUAAAAUAUAUUUGUUGUCUUUUGCAGUUUGAUCAGCAUUAACAAGCACCUUGGGGAAACCUCUUAUUUAUGGUUAUGCAUGUGGCAAACACUGCAGUUUGGAACUAGCUAGCAGAUUAAAAGGUGUUCCAUAACGGCAGGUCGGGCGCUUCUGCGCAUCAUCUUUGCCGACCAGUCUGACUCUAGAAAACUGACCCUGGAUUCGGGAAUCCCAGCAACAGUUGAAGAACUGCACACAUUUGUCAAGACAUCUCUUCAAUUGAAAGAGGACUUCCGUCUGCAAUACAUGGAUGUUGACUUUAACGAGUUCAUGAAUCUUACAUCAGUGUCUGAAAUUCAGGAUAAAAGCACACUGAAAGUAAUUUACUCUCCUAUAUUGUCAAAUAUUGAGCCCUCCAUCACUUAGUACACAGUUGACUCAUUUGAUAAGACCUCAAUUACUGGAAGCUCAGAGUCUCUAAUCCCUGCAUCAUCAAUAGCCUCAUGCUGCAGUGAUGAUAUGGUGUAUACGUCAACCCCGCAUCCAUCCCCUGAAGCUCAGGCCUCACAAUUGUUAUCCUGGCCCACAGUUUUUGUGGUUCCUAAGCUCACCUACGAGGCUGAAUUUGAGCUUCAUCUACAGAAUGCAGAGUUUGAGACAACUGGUACAUACUUCCAGCCUGGCCUAAAGCUGAAAGGAGUCAUUCUUGAUGGCCUAGCCCAAGAAAUGAUCAAAUUCACAAAAUAUCCAAAAGACUAUCAGUGUGAAGAGGUAGCUGCAGCGUUGACGAGGGCCCACCCUUGUUUGGGGCAGCUAGGAUCCAAGAUAGGAUUUGGGGGGUGGAAACAGUCUCUUAAGUACAAAAUGCAAAACUAUCGUACAAAGCUUGGCCGUCUUGGACAUCCUGAAAUCCUUGUGAACUCCUUAAAGCACAAGAAAACAGGCCAAGGCAAAGCUGCAGCAAACAUAAAAAAAAACAAGAAAAGCUGAAAUAAACUACAUUCCUCUGCACCCAAAAGGCGAAACCACAGA